GAGGGUAUAGCUGAGCGGUAGAGUGCGUGCUUAGCAUGCAUGGGGUCCUGGGUUCAAUAUCCAGUACAAUCA
rnacentral:tRNA from 1 species